GGUUGAUCCUGCCAGUAGUGAUAUGCUUGUUUCAAAGAUUAAGCCAUGCAUGUCUAAGUAUAAGCGAACUUAUACAGUGAAACUGCGGAUGGCUCAUUAAAACAGUUUGAAUUUAUUUGAUGGAUGUACGCGAGUACUACAUGGAUAUCCGUAGUAAUUCUAGAGCUAAUACAUGCAGGAACGCCCGACCCUCGCGGAAGGGCUGUAUUUAUUGGAUACAAAAACCAAACCUGGCAACAGGUUUCGUUUGUUGAUUCACAAUAACUGAUCGGACCGUUGCCUCGGCAGCGGC
rnacentral:rRNA from 1 species